rnacentral:rRNA from 1 species
AAGUCGUAACAAGGUCUCCGUUGGUGAACCAGCGGAGGAUCAUUACUGAGUACUACACUCUCUACCCUUUGUGAACUAUUAUACCUGUUGCUUCGGCGGCGCCGCAAGGGUGCCCGCCGGUCUCAUCAGAAUCUCUGUUUUCGAACCCGACGAUACUUCUGAGUGUUCUUAGCGAACUGUCAGAACUUUUAACAACGGAUCUCUUGGCUCCAGCAUCGAUGAAGAACGCAGCGAAACGCGAUAUGUAAUGUGAAUUGCAGAAUUCAGUGAAUCAUCGAAUCUUUGAACGCACAUGGCGCCUUCCAGUAUCCUGGGAGCAUGCCUGUCCGAGCGUCGUUUCAACCCUCGAGCCCCUGUGGCCCGGCGUUGGGAUCUGCCACGGCAGGCCCCUAAAACCAGUGGCGGACCCGAAGGGCCCUCUCCUUUGCGCAGUAGCAUUCGCCUCGCAUCGGGAGUCCUCGGCGUCCUGCCUCUAAACCCCCACAAGCCCGCUUCGGCGGCACCAAGGUUGACCUCGGAUCAGGUAGGAAUACCCGCUGAACUUAA